rnacentral:pre_miRNA from 1 species
CCAUGGCCGGCGACCGGCCAGCGAUCGGCCGUCGAGGCUCGGGCUCGCCGGAUCUGGGAGAGCUCGAGCCUCGACGGCCGAUCGCAGGCUGGUCGCCGGCCAUGG